UCUGAGCUUUUCUUGAUAAACUGAGUUCUCAGCCUUGUGGGAGUAUGAAGUACUUGAAAAAGAGUUGAGUAACUCGUCACACAAGAUGACGUUAACUCAUUUAAAAUUAGGUCUGAGGUAUAGAUGUGUCUGUCAUUUCAGAUAAUCUGAGAAUAACAGAGAAAUACUUGAGGUAGAAGUUGUGUGUCUCCAUUACUGUGUGGAUGCUGAUCCAACAAAAUGCUGUAAAAAUAUCAAGAACCUGAACUGACUUCAAACUAUGAAGCAGGUCCUUGAGCAUAUUUGUGUAUUUUAAAAAGACUUGAAGUGUUCACCUUUAGUCAGCAUUUCAGCUUUUUAAAAAGUGCUUGCUGUUUUGCACUGCAAGCAGUCAGUCAAGCAGAAUGAUUUACUGUCCUUCCCCGUCCUAUCUAUGCGAUGAUUUUGCUCUGUGUCUCUUUACAGGCUGCUUAUGUAGCAGCUUAGGGAGUGAACAGAUGUCACAGUGCUGGACAGCCCUGUUCGGGGUUAUGACCAGAAAAAAAAAAUCUAUAAAGAGUAUAAGAAAUGGUUCCUGUUCUGUUUAAAUUAUUUAGCUUUAUGUCAGAUUUCAGCCUCUUAACCUGGUAAGUUGCAGCAGAAUGCAGAACCACUUUAAAUUACAGUUCAGUUAAUACAUUUGUUACAUCCGAAUGUACGGUGCAGAUUGCCUGUUUCGCAGUAGAUGGGCAGUGGUUUAACACUGCUGCACCUCAAAUAGGAAUGCGAAUGCUGUUUCCUAUUAAAAAAAAUUGAGAAGGAAGAUAAUCUUUCUGUCAUAACCAAAGACAAGAAGCCAAACCAGAUUUUUUUAAUAUUAUUAUUUGCAAUAAUGAUGUUGGCUUAUUAUAGUGGAGUUUUUAAGCAACAUAAGGCCUUGAAUUUUGUGGUUUUGCAAGGAAUGCAUGGAGUGCUCUCUCGCUCAUUAUUACCACAACCUACCAUGCUAACAGGGUUCAUUUUAUAGAUAAUUGGUGUUUUAAGCUCAAGUUAAAAUAAAGGAAGUUCCACAAGGGGGGAAUCUAGGGGGUUGAGGCAACCCCCAAGAGACGUGUGGAGCAAGGCUGGGGAGGACAGUCGGCCAGGGACAGUGGGCUGCGGGAGGCUCGCUGGCGUCCCCUGGGAAGGGCUGUGGCACUGAGUGAGCACACACAGCCCGAGAAAGAAACCAGAGGGAUUAGACCGAUCAGCAGUUGCUGCUCAGCUUGAUCAACUGAGAUCUGAUGGGUUGGAAUGAGUGUGGAGACCAACAUGGGCAGCAUUGCAGGGGCACCUGCUACAGAUUGCCUGAUCAGGAAGAGGAAGCAGCUGAAGCCUUAACUAAGUAGAAAGAAACUCAUGAUUGUAGGCCCAGCUUUUUUGGGGAUGUAAAAUCGCUCUGCAGUGUGGAAGAGCCACUUGCCUGGGUAAAGGCAGUCCAAGCAAUUUUGGUGGGGCAUGAAGAGCGUUUGUUUUGGUUGGGUUUUUUUUGCUUUGUUGUUUGUUGCUUUUGUUGUGUUUUGUUGUGUUUUGUUGCUUUUUGACCCAGCAGCUAGAUUUGUUAUUCAGAAACAGGAAAGAACUAGCAGGCAAUAUACAGGUCAAUGGCAGCCUUGGUGGCAGUGACUAUAGGACCUUAGAAUUAAGAUCCCAAGAGGAGCGAGGAAGGUAAAUAGCAGAAUAAAGAUUCUGGACUUCAGGAGAACAGAACUGGGCUUAUUCAGGAAGCCUGCCUGUGAGUAUCCCUCAGGAAAUUGCUCUGGGGGGCAACAGGGCCUAGAAGAGAGAGGUGAUACUCAAAGACACUGUGCUCAUCGCACAAAACCGGUCUUUCCAGCUGAUGUGGGAGCAGGUACGGCAGAGGAACAGCUUGCCCAAACGGGCAAUGCUUGUCUGAACACAGACACCAAAAGGAAGGGGUUGGGGGGUGGAAGCAGGGAUGAGCUGUCCACACAACACAAAAGGAUUGCUCAGGCAUGCGGGGAUGGAAUUGAGAGACCAAAGCUCAAUUGGCGGUGAAAUUGGCAAAGGAUGUCAAUAGCACCAAGAAGAGUGUCCUUAAUAACUUUGGCAACAAAAGAAAGAUUAAUUAAAAUGUGAUCAUGCUUUUUGGCAAGGUAGGUGAAUAGCAUGGAAAAAGCCAAGGUGGUCGUUGCCUUUUUUGUUUCAGCUUUUACUAGCGAUGUCUACUCAGAAGUGUCUCAGGUUCCCCGAUCCUAGUGGCACAGGGAGUGAAAUACUGACCAUGAUAGAGGAAGACAGAGUUGGGGACUACAGAAGCAAACGGGACAAAGACUACUCUGUUGGACUAGAUGGGAUGCAUCUGAGGAUGCUGAAGGAGCUGGUCAUUAUUACUGCAAGGCUGCUGGCCAUUUUUCAUCUUUGGAAGGUUGUGGUUAUUGGAGGAGAUAUCCAGAUGACUUGGGAAAAGGCAAAUCUGUCUUUGCAAGAAGAAGGAAGAUCCAGAGCAUAAUAGGCUGGUCAACCUAACCUUAGUUUCCAGGAAAAUUAUGGAGCAAAUCCUUCAUAAUGGCCUAUUCUUCUCUGCUUUUCAGGUGCAUGAAAAACAAGGUGAUGAUUUGGAACAGCCAGUUUGGGUCUGCCAAGGACAAAUUGAACCUGCAUUGGCCUGUUUGCCUUCUCCGGGAGAGCUGGCUUGGAUGAGGGAAGAACAGUAGAUGUCGUUUACCUUGGCUUUAGCAAGGCCUUUGACAUGGUUUCACUGAGCAUUCCUGUAGCGAAAGUGGGGAGAUACAGGCUGGAUGGGAAGACCACAAGCUUGGUGGAAAACUGAGCAGCCAGGCUCAGAGUACAGUGGUUAGCAGGCUGACACUCAGUGGGUGGCCAGAUGGUGGGUGGUGGUUCUCAGGGGUGGAUACUGGGGCUGAUACUGUUUUAAGUUUUGCAUUAACCUGGCUGAGGGGUGGAGCAGGUUCUCAGCAGGUCUGCAGACAACACCACAUUGCAGGCAGCCUUUGACACACUGGGCAGUUGAACUGCCACUCGGAGGGAUCUUGGCAGGCUGAAAGAUGGACUGACAGAAAAGUGAUCAAGUUUAAUAAAAAUUAAAGCCUGCAGCCUGUGACCAAGUAAACCAAUGCAUCAGUAAAGGCUGGGGCCAACAGGACCAAAAGCUGUUUUAAACAAGAGGACAUGGGGGGUCCUAAGGGACGACCAGUUGAAUGUAAGUCAGCAUUGUGAUCUGCCAGCAAAGAUGGACAAUUUCAUCCUGGGCUGUGUUAGCUUGCCAUGAGGAAGGAGGUCAUCUCUGGCCUGAGAGACUCCUUGGUGACAGAAUGACAGUGUUUCAGUUCUGAUUUGAAGAACCUCCUCUUAUGAAAGAAGUCCAGUGGAUCCCUGUGUAAUUCGUGUUCGAGGUCGUGUUGUACAAGUGCAUGGUAGUAUAAAAGAAACAUUGGAGGUUGCAUGUAGUUUGUUGGUUUUGCAUGCAGUUUUUAAUAUAUAUUUGUGGCAAACUGAAAAUAUGACUGUAUUUAUAUAAUAUUUGCUUGAUGUUAGGCUGAACAGAAGCAUCACUAAAUGGAAUGAAAGUACUGUAAGCAAAAAAAACUUGUUGACUCAGUGUUUGCUCCAUGAAAUAGUUUAUUCAGUUAACUGAAGGCCUGAAGGCCACUCUGAGUUAUCUAAAAUAAUAUGAUUAGCUAAAGAGCAGCACUGAAAGAGCCUAGAAUACCAAACACAUACUUAAAAACUUAACCCCAAACCUAUCAAAGCCAAGGAACUGGGAGGGACAAUAGACAAGGAAAAUGUAUUAACUACUUUGUAUUGAGACUCCUUAAAUUGAUUUUAAUAUUAAGUUUGGAAUUGUCCCUUUUGUGUAGAAAAUCUACACUGAGUUUUUAGCCCAGGGAGGAGGUUGAGCUUUAAUUUUUAGAUCUGGAACUGGUGGUGUUCUUGAUCCAUACUUGCAUCUAAAUUACUCAAAGAGGCUCCAGUAAGAGCUGAGAUUGUGAGUACCUUAUGGCAGCCCUUACUGAGGUCCUGGUGUGUGAUGCCUCCUGCAUUCUUGCUACAGGUCUUAAGAUUCUCCCAAAGCCUGCAAAUGGAUCUGCCAGCACUGAGGAGCAGCUGCAGUAUAAUCAUGCUUGUUCCAGCAAAGAAGAUAGUGGGCUCGCCAGAUCUGAAAUGCCACCAUGCAGAGGUUUUACCCCCUGGCUUUUAUGUUUUUCAGUGAAAAGCAAUUGAGUAUCCCUCUGGUAAUAUGGUGCAAGCAAUAUGUCAGCAUUUUGUUAAGUUUUGCUAUAGAAGAGUUUGUAUAAACUGUAUGUUUUCAGUCCAUUUGGCUUUUAAGAGCGACAGUCAUUUAAUGAAUACAGUGAUAGUUGCAGAUGGUUCUAUGCUACAUCACUGAUUUGGGUUUUUCCUCUUUUGCAGCAAUACCUGUAGUUGAUUUAAGAGGUACUGCAUGAAUACAUGAUAAUUCACAGAUUGUAUAAAAUAUAGCCAGUGAUGAUAACUGUUCAUUAGUAAAUGGGGGAAAUAGACACACAGUCCAAAGUGACCAGGUCAAAGUCAUAGAGUGAAACCAAAUCCCGUCAUUUUUUUAAUAGCUAUUAUACCUGUAUAUCUGCAGAUUACUUCUUAAUUCAAUUUGUUGAUCAGUACAUGCCAUCUGAAAGUUUCAUCUUGGCCUUGCCUAGGCUGAGAGACAGUUAAGAGAAAUCAAGCUGGAACACAAGAGGUUCCACUUAAAUUUGAGAAGAAACUUCUUCUCAGUGAGGUUGACAGACACUGGAACAGGCUGCCCAGGGAGGUUGUGGAGUCUCCUACUCUGGAGACAUUCAAAACCCGCCUGGACAUGUUCCUGUGUGACCUCACCUAGGCGUUCCUGCUCCAGCAGGGGGAUUGGACUAGAUGAUCUUUUGAGGUCCCUUCCAGUCCCAAACAUACCGUGAUACUGUGAUACUGUGAUUUUCGUCGGUUUUGCACCAUCAGCCUGGCAAGAAGGUCUUGUGCUGGGGUGAGGCUGCAACACCACAUACUUGGAAAUUCCAUUUCUAAGUACUGGUGGGUUUGUGGGUACACACAGCUUCUGAGAGCAGCUUUGAGAAGGCUACAAGCUGAAGUCAUUCUAUGGCAUCUGUGCCCUCUGACAGAAGAGGCCUGUGGCUGAGGCCAUGACUGACAGAACUGCCUUUGGCAGAACUUCAAAGUUUCCUGGAGAAGCAUCUGUGUUUCAAGGAAUUCAUCCAAGCAAACAUGAAGCUUUCUGAAGAGGGAAAAGUACACCUGACAUGGAUUCAGAGUAGCAGCCUCCACAGACUCUCUCCAGAUCUUAUCCUGUUGAACCUGGUCCUGCUGCAGUGCUGCCUGCUUGUCUGCCCAGGCCCGAGCAGCCGGUUGUGCAACGACAGGUCUUCUGGGCUGGGUGCUGCCAAGAGACGCAGAUGGAGCUGAGGCUGGUUGCCCCAGAGAGGUGGUUCCUGGUUGCCGAGACCUAACCAAGCCAAAGAGCAAAUAAUGUUCUGUAUCUACACAGCAUUAUCAUGAACUGAGGAAAUGAACAGUUUGGCAGCCUGGCCUGAUAGUUCCCUCUGUUCCUAUUAUGGAAUCUGCUUAUCCCACUACAUUGGUUCCAGGGUCCUCUCCAAGCUGGAGCAUGUGCAGCUGGUUGGAGAAUGGGGUUUUAAAAGCAUCUAUCUGCUUUAAAAGGAAGCUGAGGCAUGUUUGGAAGACCCAGUGCGUUAUUCAGUGUGCAUGGGAUUUUAGCUCCUGCUCAGGUCAGGAGAGGAUCCUAAUGCAUGGAACACUCUGUCAUUCUUGUUUACAAAGUUAUUGUGUUAUUUUAAUGCUAGUCCUUCCUUCAAGUCAAUUUCUAAAAAUUAAACAUAAUAAUAAACUAAAAAUGGUUAUUGAGCUGAAUACAUAGCUUCCAAAUGACUACUUGUAGUCACUGACUAAACUGGAUGGAAAAAUUAAAAUCAUAUGUUUCAAGUCUAUGCCAUUGCAUGGGGUCUACAAAGACGUAGGAGUUGUAACUUUGCUGGUUUUGAUGUGGGGCUAUGAAAUGCCUCUCAGAACAUCUUACUGAAAGUGAACUCCUAGGUUAAAGCCAGAUCUGUUCGUCUGAGACCCCACAACCUCAGAAAAGAAAGAAGUCUUAACUGUUCAGGACUUCUUUAGGCUUUAAAUGAGUUACGUCCAUGCUGGCAUUGUUCAAGCCAUUUCUCUAGAAAUACUAACUGGGAAUGGGAUCAUGGCUGUUUAAAUAAAUUGUGGGUGCUUUUUGUU